rnacentral:sRNA from 1 species
CUGGUUUUGGCCCGGCUGACUCGGGGUAGGGGAGGUCGGGGAGGGGGCGAUAAAAUGGCGCAGGGGGCGGAGUGAGGCGCAGUCGUUCGCCCAGGCUUUGGCCCGGCUUCCGGAGGAAGGUGGGAGUCAAUCAUUUUGACAAGUCUCCUGAAAGGAACAGCUAGCAGGAACUGAAACCUUUUUCCAUUUGGUCUCGUGGCAAAGGCAGAGAUUGCUCCAGCAGCUCCACACAAAAUGAUGUGCUCACGGGUGCCCUCUGAACAGUCUUCUGGUACCUCUCUCUUGCCUAAAGACGGUGCCCCAUUUUCUUGGGAUUGCUUGGAUGAGGAUGGAUUGGAUGACUCCUUGCUGGAGCUGUCAGAGGGAGAAGAAGAUGAUGGUGAUGUAAAUUACACAGAGGAAGAGAUUGAUGCACUGUUGAAGGAAGAUGACCCAUCAUAUGAGCAGUCUUCUGGGGAAGAUGAUGGUGGGCAUGUUGAGAAGGGAGAAAGAGGGAGUCAAAUUCUACUUGAUACUCCCCAAGAGAAAAAUUCAUCGUACAGCCUGGGACCAGUAGCUGAGACUCCUGACCUCUUCAAACUACCUCAGCUAAGUACAUCAAGUGGUCAUGGACCAGCUCAUACUAAACCAUUAAACAGACGCUCUGUACUAGAAAAGAAUCUUAUAAAAGUAACUGUUGCACCAUUUAAUCCAACAGUUUGUGAUGCUCUGCUUGAUAAGGAUGAGACUGAUUCAUCCAAAGAUACUGAAAAACUCUCUUCCCUUGGAGAAGAGAUGAGAGAAGAUGGUCUUAGCCCAAAUGAAAGCAAACUUUGUACUGAAUCUGAAGGGAUCAGCCCCAAUAACUCUGCCUGGAAUGGGCCCCAGCUCUCUUCUUCAAACAAUAACUUUCAACAGACUGUCUCUGAUAAAAAUAUGCCUGACAGUGAGAACCCUACGUCUGUAUUCUCUCGGAUCUCAGACCAUUCAGAGACUCCUAAUAUGGAGUUAUCCUGCAGAAAUGGUGGUUCACACAAGUCAAGUUGUGAAAUGAGAUCUCUGGUCGUUUCCACCUCAUCAAACAAAGAUGUUCUUAACAAGGAUUCUGGGAAGAUGAAAGGCCAUGAGAGAAGACUAGGCAAAGUCAUUCCUGUUCUACAAACUAAGACCAGGACUAAUGUUCCAACGUUUUCACAGUCAAAUCUAGAACAGCAGAAGCAGCUUUACCUCAGGAGUGUCAUUGCUCAUAUAGAAGACCCAGAGGACACUAACCAAGGAUGAAUCCCUAGAAGUGGAAUUGCUGGACAGGGUUUCACCAAGUUGGCCAGGCUGUUCUCGAGCUCUUGACUUCAAGUGAUCAGCCCUCCUCAGCCUCCCAAAGUGCUGAGAUUACGGGUGUGAGCCCCCGCGCCUGACUGAGAAUUAACAUUUUAAUAUUGAGUGUUUUGAUUAAAGUCUUCUCUAAUUUCCUUCAUAAAUGUUUUGUAGCUUUUGUACAGUCUUGCACAUCUUUUAUCCAAUUUAUCCCUGAGUGUUUCAUAUUGUGAUGCUUUUGUAAAAUGAUUUAGUUUUUAAAAUUUGAGUAUCUGUUCAUUGCUAUUAUAUAGAAAUGUAAUUGAUUUUUAUGUCUUGGUCUUACAUUCUAUAACCUUCCUAAAUUCUUUUAUUAGUUUUAGUAACUUUUUAAUAGAUUUCAUCAGGUUUUCCCU